GUCAACGGAUUAUGCAUUUGAUGAUGCCCUGGUCAAAUCAUUAACUAGGGAACUACUAGCUAAAUGCAAUGAGGCUAGCUCUUCACCUCCCUCCAUGACACAGUUGUCAUCACACAAUGUACUUGGCCGUGACGAGGUAGGUAAUUCUGGGCUUCCAACAACUUGUAGAAAGGAAAAGAAGAGAGGAAGAUUCAGCGCUCUCUGUGGACUCAACCCAAAGUGUACAAAGAAGGUCAACAAGAAGAACCACUGCACUCCAACACCUUCCCAGAACCAGACCCCUGCCGUCAGUGAAACAGCAAUUGUCAAUGAUCAAGAAACCUGCCGAACAGAGAGUGUAUGCUCCACCAAGAAGAAACCAAGGAAGCGUUCGCUCAUUUCCAGGAUGUUUUCAGCUAUAGGCAAAGCCUUGUCCAGUCCCUUUACUUCCUGCUAUAAAAAGAAGAGCACCUAAUCUAUAUUUCAAAAUAAAUAUUUGAAAUUAA